ACAACAUUACGAAAUCGAAUUGGUGUAACGUUUUCUGAAAUGUAAGAGCAAAAAAUAGCUCGAUCAGAUAAACAACUAUGGCGUCUUGAAUGUCAAUCAUAAUCCCUCCACAAUUUCAGUAGCAAUGGCGGUUUCCUUGCUGCGAAACCCCUUUUAUCCACCGUGGAUUACAUCGCUAUUACCAAGAGGCUGCUCGCCAAACUCCUACAGUUUCAAGCCCCUCAGAGUUACAUCUUUCAGCUUCUCCACCUCCGCCGCUGCCGACGAAGAAGUUGGGUCGUCGGACAUAGCCCCAAAAUGGGAAUCUAUUCGCAAGAAGAAAGUGGUUAUGCGCGUUGGCUACGUGGGGUCCGAUUACAGAGUAUUGCAAAUUCAGAGGAGUGAACCUGAUAUAUUAACCAUUGAAGGUGAACUAGAAAAAGCUAUUUUUAAAGUUGGCGGAAUUAGAGAGAGUAAUUUUGGGGAUUUGAACAAAAUUCGUUGGGCGCGAAGUAGCCGGACUGAUAAAGGGGUUCAUUCGCUGGCGACCAUGAUCGCUUUUAAAAUGGAGAUUCCAGAAUUUGCUUGGAACAAUGAUCCGAAUGGCGUUGCUCUUGCCAGAUAUGUUAACUCCCAUCUUCCCGAAAAUAUAAGAGUCUUCAGCAUCUUACCUUCACAAAGGAGUUUUGAUGCCCGAAGAGAAUGUAGCAUUCGUAAGUAUUCCUAUCUUCUCCCGGCUGAAGUUAUUGGAGUAAAAGAAAAUUGUACAGCUGAUGAAAUCGAUCGUCAUGUAUCAGAUUUUAAUAAUAUACUGAAUAUUUUUGAGGGUGACCAUCCUUUUCACAAUUAUACUGUUAGAUCUAAAUACAGAAAACGCUCUCCUCGUAGAGUUUCUGUAAAGAAUUAUCCAUCAAAGACGUCCAAGUUAUCACCUGCACAGAGUGGCUCUGACUCGGAAGGAAGUGAUGAGGAAGAUAUCAGCGAAGCUGAUGAAUCCUCCGCCACAAAUUCUGGGGAAAGGGAGCACAACUCUCUCCUCUCCAACUCAGACAGGAACGCUGAUGGAGACGAGGACACCUUGAAGGAACAUGAAAAUAUUGUUGUUCCUGUACUUGCUCGGUGGCUAGACGAACCUGAUGAGAACGACAGGAUUGGUGCAUCACAUUUCAGAAAGAUUUUCCAGUGCUGCUGUGGCGAAUUAGAGCAGUUGUCCGGUGCUAGCUUCAUUGAAAUCUCCAUCUGUGGAGAGUCAUUCAUGCUGCAUCAGAUACGCAAAAUGGUAGGGACUGCUAUAGCUGUGAAACGCGAGUUGCUGCCAAGAGACAUUCUGAGUAUAUCGUUGUCCAAGUUCUCGAGGAUCGUCUUGCCUCUUGCCCCGUCAGAAGGUCUAUUUUUGAGGAGCAAUAGCUUUGCAAUCCGAAACAGACCAGGCAAUCUAAAGAGGCCGGAGAUGAAGGCAUUGGUCGAAUCUGAGGAGAUCCUCAAAUCCGUCGAUGAUUUCUAUCGUUCGGUGAUGUUGCCUCAGAUGUCCAAGUUUUUAGACCCUUCAAACUCCCCUUGGAAAGAAUGGGUGCCGUUGUUAGAUGCAAACACCGGUAUCCCAGAGUCUCAACUGGACAAUGUGAGAGUUGCUUGGAAGUUGUGGCACGAGAAGCUCGGGAGUCAAAGGAGGAUGGCGGCCUAGCCUCGAUUUAUCGAAGUGGAUCGGCCUAUUAUUUUUACUAUCAAAGGAGUGUCCACAAUAGUCCGGAACAGUCACGCCACAGCCACAAAAAACUCUUCCGCUACAUCAUCACAACAUAAAGUGAAAAAAAAAUUAAUUUUUUUUAAAGAAGACCGCCGCGGCGGAGGUGGUGGCUCACAAUAGGCCGCCGUGGAACCUCUGAACCCACCGCCCCCUCCACACCGCAUACGCGGCUCAGCCCCACCUGCCGCGGUGCCCCUUGUCCAGCAAUAGAACGCCGCGGCGGGCCUAUUGUGGACACUCUAAGGCCAAAUCCAGCCAACUACCUGAAUAAAAAAAAAGUUAUGCCCAUGCAACCAUGAGCCACUCACUCAUCGAGCUGGGAAAGAGAAGUCUGGAGUGAGCUAGACUCCAAAGCCAAGAAGUAGCCGUUGGAGAAUCAGUUAUAACCGAUCAUAAACAGCUGGAGGGUAGUUGAGUUUAGCUCUGUUGGUAACUUCUCAUAAAUUAGCUAGAUGAAUCAGUUUGCAUUGCAAUUGUAACACGCACAAAACACACACAUUCAAGAUAGAUAGGAUAGAGGAAGUAGAGAGCGCAUCUUCUUGUAGAGUGACACCAUUUCUUUCACCCUUGUUCAAUAAACUCCUUCAAACUUCUCCG